rnacentral:lncRNA from 1 species
AAAGAGAUGCCAGAGAAAUCUGACUAUUUCCAAGGUUUGAUUAUAAGUAUCUGGAAGCUACUUAGCUGAGCUGAGCUAUCUUCUUUGCACUUUCUAUCAUGGUUGGUUUAAUCAUAAUCGUCCUAUAAAAGUUACCACAUUGCUUCCUUCAUUCAUUCUUCGAGUCCAGAUAAUGUAUUAUCGUUUCCCUUGUGUUAAAGACAUGUGUUACUUCUUUGCACUUUCUAUCACAGUUGGUUUAUUCAUAAUCAUCCUAUAAAAGUUACCACAUUGCUUCUUUCAUUUAUUCUUUGAGGCCAGGUAAUGUAUUAUCACUUCCCUUGUGUUAAAGUCAUGUGUUACUUCAGUCAAAUUAUCAAGUGAAAAUUAGUAUGCUUAUUGAAUGGCUAUUCUUCUUU